UACGUAGGGUGCGAGCGUUGUCCGGAAUUAUUGGGCGUAAAGGGCUCGUAGGCGGUUCGUCACGUCGGGAGUGAAAACUCGGGGCUUAACCCCGAGCCUGCUUCCGAUACGGGCAGACUAGAGGUAGGCAGGGGAGAGCGGAACUCCUGGUGUAGCGGUGGAAUGCGCAGAUAUCAGGAAGAACACCGGUGGCGAAGGCGGCUCUCUGGACCGAGACUGACGCUGAGGCGCGAAAGCGUGGGGAGCAAACAGG
rnacentral:rRNA from 1 species